rnacentral:snoRNA from 1 species
AGGUUAUUUUGAAAAGGGCUUGUUGGGCUGUGUAACCAAGAGAUCUUAAAACUGACCACGGACAUACCCCAAAGGAUGACAUCAUCAAUCAACAGCACUUAUAUUUUUCCAAGGAGAUAGGAAA